AAAUAAAACAAGCUUGAAGCUGUGAAGGGUCUCAAAUCCCAUGAUUAGAACUUCCCUUAGAGUUGUGUGGUUCUGAAAGCCUGGUGUGUCAAUAUUACAUUGAACAGUCAUGUUCAAUGUCAAUGUGUUCAAUGUCAUGUUUCUGACAAUCUGGAGCAAAAAUAUAUAUAUUGAUAUACUGAUAAUCAAACCUUUCAUUUUCC